AAAUGCGAUAAGUAGUGUGAAUUGCAGAAUUCAGUGAAUCAUCGAGUCUUUGAACGCACAUUGCGCCCCUUGGUAUUCCAUGGGGCAUGCCUGUUCGAGCGUCAUUUGUACCCUCAAGCUCUGCUUGGUGUUGGGUGUUUGUCCCCGUCUCCGCGCGUGGACUCGCCCCAAAGUGAUUGGCAGCCGGCGUACUGGUCCCGGAGCGCAGCACAUGUCGCGCAAACGAGUGCCUUGGUACGGCGGCGUCCAUAAGCCCCUCUCUCACGCUCUUGACCUCGGAUCAGGUAGGGAUACCCGCUGAACUUAAGC
rnacentral:misc_RNA from 1 species